rnacentral:rRNA from 1 species
ACGGAAACGAUGGGAGCUUGCUCCCAGGCGUCGAGUGGCGGACGGGUGAGUAACACGUAGGAACCUGCCCUGUAGCGGGGGAUAGCCCGGGGAAACCCGGAUUAAUACCGCAUACGCACCAUGGUGGAAAGAGGGCCUCUUCUUGAAAGCUCUCACUAUGGGAUGGGCCUACGUCUGAUUAGCUUGUUGGUGGGGUAAAGGCCUACCAAGGCGACGAUCAGUAGCUGGUCUGAGAGGAUGAUCAGCCACACCGGGACUGAGACACGGCCCGGACUCCUACGGGAGGCAGCAGUGGGGAAUAUUGGACAAUGGGCGCAAGCCUGAUCCAGCAAUGCCGCGUGUGUGAAGAAGGCCUGAGGGUUGUAAAGCACUUUUAUUUGGGAAGAAACGCUCGGAGCUAAUACCUUCGAGAAUUGACGGUACCAUCUGAAUAAGCACCGGCUAACUCCGUGCCAGCAGCCGCGGUAAUACGGAGGGUGCAAGCGUUAAUCGGAAUUACUGGGCGUAAAGCGUGUGUAGGUGGUUCGUUAAGUCGGAUGUGAAAGCCCCGGGCUCAACCUGGGAACUGCAUUCGAUACUGGCGAACUAGAGUUUAGCAGAGGAAAGCGGAAUUCCGGGUGUAGCGGUGAAAUGCGUAGAUAUCCGGAGGAACACCAGUGGCGAAGGCGGC